AACUAUAUGUUAUUAUAUAUAGCUAUUUCUGCUCCAUGGUGUAUUUAAAUAGCCGCAGUACCUUGACUGUGCAAAGGUAGCAUAAUCAAUUGGCUUAUAAUUAAAGUCUGGAAUGAACGAAUAAACGGGCAGCAACUAUCUUAGAGAGAUCAAAGGAAUUUAACAAUCAAGUGCAAAUGCUUGACGCUUUAAAAAAGACGAGAAGACCCUAGAAACUUAGUAUUUUGUUGGGGCGACAGAAUUACAACAAACUAAUUUUAUUGUACAUGAAGCAUAGAAGACAGAUAAAGUUACUCUAGGGAUAACAGCAUAAUUUACUAUAGUUUGUGACCUCGAUGUUGGACUAGGUACCAUAGUUUUUAGAAGAAACUAUUGGUUGCUCUGUUCGAGCAGUUUCACCUACAU
rnacentral:rRNA from 1 species